GUGCCAGCAGCCGCGGUAAUACCGGCAGCUCAAGUGGUCGUCGCUUUUAUUGGGCCUAAAACGUCCGUAGCCUGUUUGGUAAAUCUGUGGGUAAAUCAACCCGCUCAACGGGUUGAAUUCUGCGAGCACGGCCAGACUUGGGACCGGGAGAGGUGUGGGGUACUCUCAGGGUAGGGGUAAAAUCCUGUCAUCCUGAGAGGACCACCUGUUGCGAAGGCGCCACACUAGAACGGAUCCGACGGUCAGGGACGAAACCUAGGGGCACGAACCGGAUUAGAUACCCGGGUAGUCCUAGGUGUAAACGCUGUGGACUUGAUGUUGGGGGCGCUCCGAGCGCUCUCAGUGUCGAAGCGAAGGUGAUAAGUCCACUGCCUGGGGAGUACGGUCGCAAGGCUGAAACUUAAAGGAAUAGGCGGGGGAGCACUGCAACCUGAGGAUUGUGCGGUUUAAUUGGAUUCAACGCCGGAAAACUCACCAUGGCCGACGGACAAAUGAAAGCCAGUGUAACGAGCUUGCUGGAUUGUUCGAGAGGUAUUGCAUGGCCGCCGUCAGUUCGUACCGCAAGGCGUUCUGUUAAGUCAGAUAACGAACGAGACCCUCAUCCCUAUUUGCCAACUGCGUCCCCGGACGUAGCGCACUAUAGGGAGACCGCUGUCGAUAAGGCAGAUGAAGGCGAGGGCAACGGUAGGUCAGUAUGAUCCGAAUGCCAUGGGCUACACGCGCAAUACAAAGGACGGGACAAUGGGCUGCAACUCCGAGAGGAAAGACGCUAUCCCGAAACCCGUUCGUAGUUCGGAUUGAGGGCUGUAAUUCGCCCUCAUGAAGCUGGAUUAGGUAGUAAUCGCGUCUCAUAGGCGCGGUGAAUAUGCCCCUGCUCUUGCACUCAC
rnacentral:rRNA from 1 species